GAAAUACAUUGAAGCAGACAAAAAGUAAAUGAUGAAAUUACCACUGUAGAAAUAGACAACCACUCACAAGGAAACACCAUUACGUCCAAAAAAGUCAUCACCACAUGCUAGAACAAAAACCACUGCGCUUGGAAAACUCCAUGCACUCCCAUACUUACUGCUACUAGAAUCUCACGCGCUGCUGCUGAAACCACCACGCACUGCCGGUGGAACCGUUGCAAGCAGCCGCGAUUUGACUGAAAAUCACCACAGAUCCGUGGUGUACUCAGAUCUGUGGUGUGUUAAGAUCCGUAACGGAUCUUGUGAAAUCGCGCGAUAAAUGCUAUUGAUCUGGCUUCACAACAUGUUGUCGUCUCGCCUCUCCUCUUCGUGCAAAUCUGGUGGGGUCUAGGACAGAUUGCUUUCGUCGCUUCGUCUUUUCCCAAUCGCGUGAUCCGUCUGCUCCAAGUUGGAUCUAUAUAUGAUAGCAACAUAAAUCACCAUACUAAUUUGUUGCCUAUAAUUACAAUAAUAUAUAAGAAAACAACUAUUCAUUACAUGAGAAAUUCUGUGAUGUAUUCUAUAAUCUUGUAACAAUCAUAAACAAUAAGAUAAAUUAUGAUAAAUAAAUAAUCAUAGAUAAUAAUAAAGUAAAUAACAACAAUAUUGAUACUAACAAAUAUAAUCACACGGAAUUACAUAGAGCAAAU
rnacentral:lncRNA from 1 species